rnacentral:misc_RNA from 1 species
CAACCCUCAAGCCCAGCUUGGUGAUGGGCCCCGCCCGUGGGCGGGCCCGAAACUCGCAGGCGUCACCGUCCUGGCCUCAAGCGUAGCAAAACCCUCGCUUGGGUGCCUGGCGGCGGCCGCCCCGGAACGAAUUUUCACAA